rnacentral:pre_miRNA from 1 species
UCUUAUGGAUGAGCAAAGAAAGUGGUUUCUUGACAUGGAAUUUAUUCCUGGUGAAGAGUCUGUGGA